GAUGAACGCUGGCGGCGUGCUUAACACAUGCAAGUCGAACGGAAAGGCCAGUGCUUGCACUGGUACUCGAGUGGCGAACGGGUGAGUAACACGUGGGUGAUCUGCCCUGCACUUCGGGAUAAGCCUGGGAAACUGGGGCUAAUACCGGAUAGGACAAUGGUUUGGAUGCCGUUGUGGAAAGUUUUUUCGGUGUGGGAUGAGCUCGCGGCCUAUCAGCUUGUUGGUGGGGUAAUGGCCUACCAAGGCGUCGACGGGUAGCCGGCCUGAGAGGGUGUACGGCCACAUUGGGACUGAGAUACGGCCCAGACUCCUACGGGAGGCAGCAGUGGGGAAUAUUGCACAAUGGGCGCAAGCCUGAUGCAGCGACGCCGCGUGGGGGAUGAAGGCCUUCGGGUUGUAAACUCCUUUCGCUAGGGACGAAGCGUAUUUGUGACGGUACCUGGAGAAGAAGCACCGGCUAACUACGUG
rnacentral:rRNA from 1 species